rnacentral:rRNA from 1 species
AACGUAGGACACAAGCGUUAGUCCGGAGUUACUGGGCGUAAAGGGCGUGUAGGCGGAGAUGUAAGUCUAUUCUGAAAGCUCCUGGCUAAACUGGGAGAGGGCGAAUGGAGACUGCAUAUCUAGAGUGAGGAAGAGGAAAGUGGAAUUCCGCGUGUAGUGGUGAAAUGCGUAGAGAUGCGGAGGAACACCAGUGGCGAAAGCGACUUUCUGGUCCUUAACUGACGCUGAGGCGGCGAAAGCAUGGGGAGCGAACGGG